rnacentral:rRNA from 1 species
UACAGAGGGUGCGAGCGUUAAUCGGAAUUACUGGGCGUAAAGCGUGCGUAGACGGCUAUCUAAGUCGGGUGUGAAAGCCCCGGGCUCAACCUGGGAAUUGCAUUCGAGACUGAAUAGCUAGGGUACGGUAGAGGGAAGUGGAAUUUCCGGUGUAGCGGUGAAAUGCGUAGAUAUCUGGAGGAACACCGGUGGCGAAGGCGGCAUCCUGGACCGACACUGACGCUGAGGCGCGAAAGCCAGGGGAGCAAACGGG